GAGCUCGUAGGCGGUUUGUCGCGUCUGCUGUGAAAGCCCGGGGCUCAACCCCGGGUCUGCAGUGGGUACGGGCAGACUAGAGUGCAGUAGGGGAGACUGGAAUUCCUGGUGUAGCGGUGAAAUGCGCAGAUAUCAGGAGGAACACCGAUGGCGAAGGCAGGUCUCUGGGCUGUAACUGACGCUGAGGAGCGAAAGCAUGGGGAGCGAACAGGAUUAGAUACCCUGGUAGUCCAUGCCGUAAACGUUGGGCACUAGGUGUGGGGGACAUUCCACGUUUUCCGCGCCGUAGCUAACGCAUUAAGUGCCCCGCCUGGGGAGUACGGCCGCAAGGCUAAAACUCAAAGGAAUUGACGGGGGCCCGCACAAGCGGCGGAGCAUGCGGAUUAAUUCGAUGCAACGCGAAGAACCUUACCAAGGCUUGACAUGAACCGGAAAGGCCUGGAAACAGGUCCCCCACUUGUGGCCGGUUUACAGGUGGUGCAUGGUUGUCGUCAGCUCGUGUCGUGAGAUGUUGGGUUAAGUCCCGCAACGAGCGCAACCCUCGUUCUAUGUUGCCAGCGCGUGAUGGCGGGGACUCAUAGGAGACUGCCGGGGUCAACUCGGAGGAAGGUGGGGACGACGUCAAAUCAUCAUGCCCCUUAUGUCUUGGGCUUCACGCAUGCUACAAUGGCCGGUACAAAGGGUUGCGAUACUGUGAGGUGGAGCUAAUCCCAAAAAGCCGGUCUCAGUUCGGAUUGAGGUCUGCAACUCGACCUCAUGAAGUUGGAGUCGCUAGUAAUCGCAGAUCAGCAACGCUGCGGUGAAUACGUUCCCGGGCCUUGUACACACCGCCCGUCAAGUCACGAAAGUUGGUAACACCCGAAGCCGGUGGCCUAACCCCUUGUGGGAGGGAGCCGUCGAAGUGGGACCGGCGAUUGGGACGAGUCGUA
rnacentral:rRNA from 1 species